GGUUAAGUUAGAAAGGGCGCACGGUGGAUGCCUUGACACUAGGAGUCGAUGAAGGACGGGACUAACGCCGAUAUGCUUCGGGGAGCUGUAAGUAAGCUUUGAUCCGAAGAUUUCCGAAUGGGGAAACCCACCAUACGUAAUGGUAUGGUAUCCUUAUCUGAAUACAUAGGGUAAGGAAGACAGACCCAGGGAACUGAAACAUCUAAGUACCUGGAGGAAGAGAAAGCAAAUGCGAUUUCCUGAGUAGCGGCGAGCGAAACGGAACAUAGCCCAAACCAAGAGGCUUGCCUCUUGGGGUUGUAGGACAUUCUAUACGGAGUUACAAAGGAACGAGGUAGACGAAGCGACCUGGAAAGGUCCGUCGUAGAGGGUAACAACCCCGUAGUCGAAACUUCGUUCUCUCUUGAAUGUAUCCUGAGUACGGCGGAACACGUGAAAUUCCGUCGGAAUCUGGGAGGACCAUCUCCCAAGGCUAAAUACUCCCUAGUGAUCGAUAGUGAACCAGUACCGUGAGGGAAAGGUGAAAAGCACCCCGGAAGGGGAGUGAAAGAGAUCCUGAAACCGUGUGCCUACAAAUAGUCAGAGCCCGUUAACGGGUGAUGGCGUGCCUUUUGUAGAAUGAACCGGCGAGUUACGAUCCCGUGCGAGGUUAAGCUGAAGAGGCGGAGCCGCAGCGAAAGCGAGUCUGAAUAGGGCGUUUAGUACGUGGUCGUAGACCCGAAACCAGGUGAUCUACCCAUGUCCAGGGUGAAGUUCAGGUAACACUGAAUGGAGGCCCGAACCCACGCACGUUGAAAAGUGCGGGGAUGAGGUGUGGGUAGCGGAGAAAUUCCAAUCGAACCUGGAGAUAGCUGGUUCUCCCCGAAAUAGCUUUAGGGCUAGCCUUAAGUGUAAGAGUCUUGGAGGUAGAGCACUGAUUGGACUAGGGGUCCUCAUCGGAUUACCGAAUUCAGUCAAACUCCGAAUGCCAAUGACUUAUCCUUAGGAGUCAGACUGCGAGUGAUAAGAUCCGUAGUCAAAAGGGAAACAGCCCAGACCGCCAGCUAAGGUCCCAAAGUGUGUAUUAAGUGGAAAAGGAUGUGGAGUUGCUUAGACAACUAGGAUGUUGGCUUAGAAGCAGCCACCAUUUAAAGAGUGCGUAAUAGCUCACUAGUCGAGUGACUCUGCGCCGAAAAUGUACCGGGGCUAAAUACACCACCGAAGCUGCGGAUUGAUACCAAUGGUAUCAGUGGUAGGGGAGCGUUCUAAGGACAGUGAAGUCAGACCGUAAGGACUGGUGGAGUGCUUAGAAGUGAGAAUGCCGGUAUGAGUAGCGAAAGACGGGUGAGAAUCCCGUCCACCGAAUGCCUAAGGUUUCCUGAGGAAGGCUCGUCCGCUCAGGGUUAGUCAGGACCUAAGCCGAGGCCGACAGGCGUAGGCGAUGGACAACAGGUUGAUAUUCCUGUACCACCUCUUUAUCGUUUGAGCAAUGGAGGGACGCAGAAGGAUAGAAGAAGCGUGCGAUUGGUUGUGCACGUCCAAGCAGUUAGGCUGAUAAGUAGGCAAAUCCGCUUAUCGCGUAUGCUGAGCUGUGAUGGGGAAGCUCCUUAUGGAGCGAAGUCUUUGAUUCC
rnacentral:rRNA from 1 species